AUUGAACGCUGGCGGCAUGCCUUACACAUGCAAGUCGAACGGUAACGGGUCCUUCGGGAUGCCGACGAGUGGCGAACGGGUGAGUAAUAUAUCGGAACGUGCCCAGUAGUGGGGGAUAACUGCUCGAAAGAGCAGCUAAUACCGCAUACGACCUGAGGGUGAAAGGGGGGGAUCGCAAGACCUCUCGCUAUUGGAGCGGCCGAUAACAGAUUAGCUAGUUGGUGGGGUAAAGGCCUACCAAGGCAACGAUCUGUAGUUGGUCUGAGAGGACGACCAGCCACACUGGGACUGAGACACGGCCCAGACUCCUACGGGAGGCAGCAGUGGGGAAUUUUGGACAAUGGGCGCAAGCCUGAUCCAGCAAUGCCGCGUGCAGGAAGAAGGCCUUCGGGUUGUAAACUGCUUUUGUCAGGGAAGAAAUCUUCUGGGCUAAUACCCCGGGAGGAUGACGGUACCUGAAGAAUAAGCACCGGCUAACUACGUGCCAGCAGCCGCCGUAAUAC
rnacentral:rRNA from 1 species